rnacentral:pre_miRNA from 1 species
AUUGAGAGCUGGAGAGGAGGCAAGAUGUUGGCAUAGCUGAUGAACUGAGAACCUGCUAUGCCAACAUAUUGCCCUCUUUC